rnacentral:lncRNA from 1 species
ACCCUUCAUUUUAACAAGCGUGGUUAUUCCACCGGGGCACUGGGGUGUCAAGGGCCAGAGGCUUUAAAAGGGAGAGAAAGAGAAGCAAACCAGGAAGUGGUGUAACAAAGGCCUAAUGAUCAGGGAGGAGUGUCUUCCUACAGACAGGUCACUGGGAAGAUGCCAAGGGCUCUCGCCACAUAAAGGAAAAGACUGUUAUAAAAAGAUUUGUAAAAAAAGAAGAAGAAGAAAGAGGCAUGGCAUUGGAGACUGGGAGGGGUGGGGCAGAGAAUAGGGAAAUGAAUAAGAAUAAUGACUUGAAAGCUUUUUUUUUUUUUUCUGGUUCUCUGCUUUCCUUUCUGCAGAUGCUCAGCUGAGCCCAUGCAGCUGGCGCCCUGACAAAUGUGGGAAAAUCAGCCAAUUUGAGCUGGUUGUUAGCAGCCCGGGUGCUGAGACGCAGAGAAAUGCGGGCUGUCCCAGGUGUGGCUGUGGAUUGUCCCACGUCUUCCCGACACGAUUGUGGCCUGCUUGUGGCCUCCCGGCCUUCAAGAGCCCACCUCCCUUCCACUUCCUGGCUCUAUGAUCUCAUAGAGGUGACCUUGAAAGAGGGACUCUCCUCUAUGGCUUCCUCUGCUUUCCCUUCCUCCUGCUGUCCAGAAAGCUUUUCUUCCUUCCAAAUCGCAGGGCUUCUACUCGCUUCCUGAAAAGCCUGUCAGGUAGCAGGAAGGAGAGGGCAGAUCUGAUCAGCCCCAUAGGACUCCUGCCUCCCAUGACAGCUCAGAUCUGAUGGCUCAUCAAGGUCCUUUUGAAGGAUGAAGAUGCUGUGACACUCAGGUGCCUGGCCACCUGUCCAGACCACUGCACACUGGGAAAGGACAGCUCCACACCUUGGGAGACACAGCACAACGCUCCUUCCACAGAGCAAGAGCCAAGCCGAUGGGGACACAGAGAAAGGAGGGCCAGAGUGGAGUUGUCACCAUUCCGCAUCUCUUGGGAGAGGCAACUCCAGGAAUAGGCAGCACCCAGGAAUGCAACAAGAAAAUCAAGGGCCACAGAAAGAACCAAGACCUGCUGCAACUCCCUUGGAUGAGUCUGGGUUUCCUUCUCUUCAAAGUGGAGUUCAAAAGGGAUACUCGGCCUACUACUUCACAGGACUGUUGCAGGUUGCAAAUUAGAUUAUGACUCUGAAGGAAUGUUGAAGGCCAUUAAUGACUCAUCCCUUUGAGGCUUAAAAGCUUUUCAAUGCCAACACUUUUAGAAGAAGAACUUUUCCUGUC